rnacentral:rRNA from 1 species
GACCCNUGGCAAGCGUUACUCGGAAUUACUAGGCGUAAAGGGCAGGUAGGUGGUUCGAUAAGUCUGCUGUGAAAGCUCCCGGCUCAACUGGGAGAGGCCAGCAGAAACUAUCGGACUUGAGUACUGGAGAGGGUCGUGGAAUUCCCGGUGUAGCGGUGAAAUGCGUAGAGAUCGGGAGGAACACCAGAGGCGAAGGCGGCGACCUGGACAGUAACUGACACUCAACUGCGAAAGCGUGGGGAGCAAACAGGAUUAGAUACCCUGGUAGUCCACGCUGUAAACGAUGGGAACUAGGUUUGGUGGGUCUUGACCCCUGCCGAACCGGAGCUAACGCAAUAAGUUCCCCGCCUGGGAAGUACGGUCGCAAGACUA